rnacentral:rRNA from 1 species
GACGAACGCUGGCGGCGUGCUUAACACAUGCAAGUCGAACGGAAAGGCCUCGCUUGCAGGGUGCUCGAGUGGCGAACGGGUGAGUAACACGUGGGUGGUCUGCCCUGCACUUCGGGAUAAGCCUCGGAAACUGGGUCUACUACCGGACAGGAGCCAGUAUUAGCGUGAUGGGUGGAAAGCUUUUUCGGUGUAGGAUGAGCUCGCGGCCUAUCAGCUUGUUGGUGGGGUAAUGGUCUACCAAGGCGGCGACCGGUAGCCGGCCUGUGAGGGUGGACGGCCACAUUGGGACUGAGAGACAGCCCAGACUCCUACGGGAGGCAGCAGGGGGGAAGAAUGCACAAUGGGCGCAAGCCUGAUGCAGCGAGGCCGCGUGGGGGAUGACGGACGUCGGGUUGUAAACUCCCUUCGCUAGGGACGAAGCUUUUUGUGACGGUACCUAGAGAAGAAGCACCGGCUAACUACGUG